AACGUAGGGGACGAGCGUUAUCCGGAUUUACUGGGCGUAAAGCGCAUGUAGGUGGCUUGAAAAGUUGGACGUGAAAGCUCCUGGCUUAACUGGGAGAGGUCGUACAAAACUAGCAAGCUUGAGGUUGGAAGAGGAGAGCAGAAUUCCCGGUGUAGUGGUGGAAUGCGUAGAUAUCGGGAGGAAUACCAGUGGCGAAAGCGGCUCUCUGGUUCAAUACUGACACUGAGAUGCGAAAAGCGUGGGGAGCGAACGGG
rnacentral:rRNA from 1 species